GAUGAACGCUGGCGGCGUGCCUAAUACAUGCAAGUCGAGCGAACGGACGAGAAGCUUGCUUCUCUGAUGUUAGCGGCGGACGGGUGAGUAACACGUGGAUCACCUACCUAUAAGACUGGGAUAACUUCGGGACACCGGCGCUAAUACCGGCUAAUAUUUUGAACCGCAUGGUUCAAAAGUGAAUGACGGUCUUGCUGUCACUUAUAGAUGGAUCCGCGCUGCAUUAGCUAGUUGGUAAGGUACCGGCUUACCAAGGCAACGAUGCAUAGCCGACCUAAGAGGAUGAUCGGCCACACUGGAACUGAGACACGGUCCAGACUCCUACGGGAGGCAGCAGUAGGGAAUCUUCCGCAAUGGGCGAAAGCCUGACGGAGCAACGCCGCGUGAGUGAUGAAGGUCUUCGGAUCGUAAAACUCUGUUAUUAGGGAAGAACAUAUGUGUAAGUAACUGUGGACAUCUUGACGGUACCUAAUCAGAAAGCCACGGCUAACUACGUG
rnacentral:rRNA from 1 species